GUCUAAGUAGCUCAGUCGGUAGAGCGUGAGACUCUUAAUUUCAGGGUCACGGGUUUGAGUGCCACAUUGGGCA